UUUUACUUUCCUAUUUGUUUGGUUCUGGGUUUUUGCCGCAGUCUCCGACCUGCAGAGACAAGAACGACAUGGACACCAAGUCCGGUUCACACAGCAGAUUCUUCUUUUACUUGCAGCUUUUUCUCUUGCAGCUCUCUCCACUUAGGCAAGGGCAAUUCUCCUAUACUCCCGGUGACUGACCUCAACUAGCUCCACACCACCUCAUCCAAUCAGACUCACUCACGUUCCAGGCACGAGCUCAGGUCGGUCACAGAUAGGCUGACAGGUCCGGAUCACGCGAGGAUGCAGUUUUACUGUGCAUGUUUGGGCAAGGCGGUAAACAUGUGGGGUUCACGGGGCCUGGCAAUGGGCCAGGGCGCCAUCUAGGCCCAUGCAGCCGCACCUGCUUCCUGCACAUAUGCUUUUGAAUUUUUAGGUAACUUCUGUUAUUGAUUCAUAAUUUCAUACUAUUGUGUUUGAAAAAGGCCUGAUCUAAUGUCUUUUUUUUUCUUUUAAAAAUAUUUCUUAUUUUUAUUUCUCUGUGUAUGUGUGUGUGUGUUUGUGUAUGUAUGUAUGUAUGUAUGUAUGUAUGUAUGUAUGUAUGUAUAUAAUGGGCUCUGUAUGUACUUGUGUGUAGGUGCCAUUGGAAGCCAGAAGAAGCCAUCAGUUCUACUGAGGCUGGAGCUACAGGUAGUCGUGAAUUGCCUGAUGUGGAUUCUAGGACGGAACUCCAGUUCUCCACAAAAGCAGUAAGUGAUCUUUACUGCUGAGCCAUUGCUUCAGUGUCAAUGACCUUUAAAAAAAAUGGUCUUCUCUAAGUUGUAUAGUAUCAUGGAGAAUACAAGUUUCACUUGAAUAGAAUGCAUAUUUUGUGAAAUAUUUCCUUUGUGAAAUAUUAGUCUGUCUGGCCUAUUUGGGUGAUGAUAUUAUUCAAGUCACUCUUUUAUUAUUUCUUCUUCUGUCUGUAUGAUCUACUCAUAGUUGGAAAGGAGGCAGUGAAAUUAACUAGUAUUGUACUUCAGUCUAUUCUUUUUAGAUGGUUUUUAAUGCUACUCUGUGGAUACUAUUUUAUGUCAUCAUAGUGUUUAAGGUCUGAAAUCAAACAAUUAUAAGUUGUUGAGUAUCUAUAUUUCAACUUGAUUUUAUAUUUCUCUUUGAGGUUGGUUCAUAAUUCCAAAAAAUGCAGUUCUGAAUAUAUAUAAUAAUUAAAAUAAUCAUGAAUAUUGGGAUCCCCGAAGUUCAAAAUUCUCCAAGUGUGACUUAAAAUUUGUUAAGAGAGAUUCACAUCUUAAAAGAAGAUUUGAGAAACACACAAAACCUUUUUGAAAUCGGCAGUAAGGAAAGAUGUAGUGUUAGAAGCACCCUGUUCAAGCAUUCCUAUGACAGCAUCAAAGCAUAAUGCUUACCAGCAGUGAAAUCGUAGUCACGGAGAAAACAGGUCACAAGUGAAAUGUGUGAACACAGAUCACUACGGCUGUUAACUGUGUCACUAGGCUGUAUGCGCAGUCUUCUACAAUGUCUGAAUGGAUAACCUAAAUCAGGAGAUGUAUUGAAAUCAGUGAUUCUUGAUCACAAGGCCAGCCAACACACAUCUCAGGCUCUCUAAAGGACAGAAUGAUGGCUGAUCUUAGAAUAUAAACCUCUGGGUUUCCCCUGGUGUGGGGGAUGAGGAAGUCAACCUGAUGAAGGAAAAGGUGGGGUGGAGAGCAAGGUGCCCAGGCUCCUGUGACUCCUCAAAGAGUCCUGAUCUGCAUUAGAUCUAAGAUAGCACCUGGAACAUGGGUGAGCCAGCAUAAAGGAGCAGAGGUCAAGGUGGUGGCUGCUUCCCCUAUCUUCAUGGAAGUCCAAAUAGGUGACAAAGCUGCACACCCCCGUCCCUGCCCUUCUGAGUUACCUCAUCAGGCAGGGCUUUUAUUGGGGCACUGUGAUGGUGUGGUGAGAUACGAUUGGUGGAGGAUUUAGGGCCUUAGGAUUGGUUCAAACACUAUAUAUGCACUUAUGUGCUGGACAAUAAACUUAGUUCUGCACCCUGAUGCUGGUCUCCAGAGUCUGAUUUCCCAAGAAUCACGUGAUGAUGCGAUUAAGUUGCUUUUCAUCCUCCAUCCUUGGUCCUGUUCCCACACCCUGAUGCAUAUUUAGACAACGAAUACAGAAGAAAUAGCAAAGCCCCAUUCAAACCCUUCUUCAGAUCAAGGAACACAGUAGAGAUUUACAGCAUUGAAGGCUAAAGGAGUUGGAGGUCGGGGCAAGAUGUUUUUGCACUGACAAUAGUAAUGGAUGACCACCUGCAACCUUUAACUGUUGGAACCAGUUAGGGCCUCAGUCCAGAAAUGGGGGUUUUCUGUGUUCUCUAACAACUCUGUAGUGUCUCGGAACUGCAGCUCCUCCCACCUCCAUGUAGCAUUUUGUUGAGGUCUGCAACAUCUCUGGAGUAUCUCUUGGUUUUGGCAGGAGGUUCCAACUUCUUUUGGUAAUGUUUGGAAUAUCAACCACAUUUUGGACAUGUGAAUGAGCCCACACAAUUUCACUCGGCUUGUUGGCACUUGCACAAAAUUAUCUCCUUCUUUCACAAAAUUGCCUGGAACCAAUAAAAGGCAGCUCAGCCUCCGAAAUAAAUUCAUGGCUGUUCACCACCAAAUGUGAUCUCAGACAAGAUGUGAUCGCCAGAAAUUUUAUGGUUCACAAAUCUAGAUAUACAAAAAGGGCCUUUCUUUGUUUAUUGAAGAGAUGUCAAUGUUUUUAUAAACAUGCAGAAUUCUUAUACACAAAGCCAACUUUGUGAUAAUGUAUUCUUAUGGAGUUAAAUCAUCCCAUCUUUCCCACAAAAAAAGGGCAUGAAAUGAAUUAGAACUCUCUAGAAGCCUUUACAAUUUAUAGUCUCCAUAUUAGAAAAAAAUGGAUGGAUAAAAUGCACAGCACAAGGAAUUGUAAGAGAUGUUGCUCAUUGAAAAUAGUAGAAAAAACUAUGCAGU
rnacentral:lncRNA from 1 species